rnacentral:rRNA from 1 species
CACGUAGGGGCCAAGCGUUGUCCGGAUUUAUUGGGCGUAAAGAGCUCGUAGGCGGUUCGACAAGUCGGGUGUGAAAACUCCGGGCUCAACCCGGAGACGCCACCCGAUACUGUCGUGACUGGAGUCCGGUAGGGGAGUGGGGAAUUCCUGGUGUAGCGGUGAAAUGCGCAGAUAUCAGGAGGAACACCGGUGGCGAAGGCGCCACUCUGGGCCGGUACUGACGCUGAGGAGCGAAAGCUAGGGGAGCGAACGGG